GCAAGUUUGUGUGUCUUCUGCCCCCUGGGUUUUUACUUUUUUUUUUUUCUUUUUCAAGAUUUAGGAUUUCUGAAGCUCCUUUCUUCUCAAGAGCCCGGGGGCCUUGCCUAGGAUUUCACCAUGCAUUGAGGGAAGGUGCUUGGUACAGUGUUAUGCGCAUAGUCGGCACUCAAAAAAUAUCACUGAUUGAUGGAUUGAAAGGACCCAGGAAGCAGCAUGGCUAAGUGGAAAGAGCAUGGGAU
rnacentral:lncRNA from 1 species